rnacentral:rRNA from 1 species
GACGAACGCUGGCGGCGUGCUUAACACAUGCAAGUCGAACGGAAAGGCCCUGCUUUUGUGGGGUGCUCGAGUGGCGAACGGGUGAGUAACACGUGAGUAACCUGCCCUUGACUUUGGGAUAACUUCAGGAAACUGGGGCUAAUACCGGAUAGGAGCUCCUGCUGCAUGGUGGGGGUUGGAAAGUUUCGGCGGUUGGGGAUGGACUCGCGGCUUAUCAGCUUGUUGGUGGGGUAGUGGCUUACCAAGGCUUUGACGGGUAGCCGGCCUGAGAGGGUGACCGGCAACAAGGAGAAUGAGAUACGAGCUAGAUAGCGACGGGAGGGAGAAGGGGAGAAAAGUGCGGAGUGGGAGGAAGGUUGAUGCAGCAACGCAGCGAGCGGGAUAACAGCCGUCGGGGUAUAAAACGGGUACGAGGGUGAAGAAGGGCGAGUGAAGGGAAAGGGUAAAGAAGAACAGGAGAGUUAAGAG